rnacentral:rRNA from 1 species
GACGAACGCUGGCGGCGUGCUUAACACAUGCAAGUCGAACGGAGUGGCGAACGGGUGAGUAACACGUGGGUGAUCUGCCUUGCACUUCGGGAUAAGCUUUGGAAACUGGGUCUAAUACCGGAUAGUGCAAGAUGAGCUCGCGGCCUAUAGGCUUGUUGGUGGGGUACUGGCCUGCCAAGGCGUCGAGGGGUAGCCGGGCUGAGAGGGUGUACGGCCACAUUGGGACUGAGAUACGGCCCAGUCUGCUACGUGAGGCAGCAGUGGGGAAUAUGGUCCAAUGGGCGGAAGCGUGAUGCAGCGACGCCGCGUGGGGGAUGAAGGCCUUCGGGUUGUAAACUCCUUUAGACAGGGACGCGGUACCUGUAUAAGAAGCACCGGCUAACUACGUGCCAGCAGCCGCGGUAAUUC